CCUACGGGAGGCAGCAGUGGGGAAUAUUGCACAAUGGGGGAAACCCUGAUGCAGCGACGCCGCGUGAGUGAAGAAGUAAUUCGUUAUGUAAAGCUCUAUCAGCAGGGAAGAAAAUGACGGUACCUGAGUAAGAUGCCCCGGCUAACUACGUGCCAGCAGCCGCGGUACUACGUAGGGGGCAAGCGUUAUCCGGAUUUACUGGGUGUAAAGGGAGCGUAGACGGCAGUGCAAGUCUGGAGUGAAAGGCGGGGGCUCAACCCCCGGACUGCUCUGGAAACUGUACGGCUGGAGUGCAGGAGAGGUAAGUGGAAUUCCUAGUGUAGCGGUGAAAUGCGUAGAUAUUGGGAGGAACACCAGUGGCGAAGGCGGCUUACUGGACUGUAACUGACGUUGAGGCUCGAAAGCGUGGGGAGCAAACAGGAUUAGAUACCCCGGUAGUC
rnacentral:rRNA from 1 species